rnacentral:rRNA from 1 species
GACGAACGCUGGCGGCGUGCCUAAUACAUGCAAGUUGAGCGAUGAAGAUUGGUGCUUGCACCAAUUUGAAGAGCAGCGAACGGGUGAGUAACGCGUGGGGAAUCUGCCUUUGAGCGGGGGACAACAUUUGGAAACGAAUGCUAAUACCGCAUAACAACUUUAAACAUAAGUUUUAAGUUUGAAAGAUGCAAUUGCAUCACUCAAAGAUGAUCCCGCGUUGUAUUAGCUAGUUGGUGAGGUAAAGGCUCACCAAGGCGAUGAUACAUAGCCGACCUGAGAGGGUGAUCGGCCACAUUGGGACUGAGACACGGCCCAAACUCCUACGGGAGGUAGCAGUAGGGAAUCUUCGGCAAUGGACGAAAGUCUGACCGAGCAACGCCGCGUGAGUGAAGAAGGUUUUCGGAUCGUAAAACUCUGUUGGUAGAGAAGAACGGUGGUGAGAGUGGAAAGCUCAUCAAGUGACGGUAACUACCCAGAAAGGGACGGCUAACUACGUG